AAAUAUACUUGGUCUACACUGGAAAAGGAAAAAAGAACAUGUUGUCACCCAUACCUGAUAGGGGAGACGCUAUUAUGCAAACCCGUUAACCGAGAGGGUCAAGCUGAAUGAGGUUUUGCCUGUUGGAACUGGUAUAUGCAAAAGAUGUAUAGAAACACACUUUAAAAAAUCAGUAUGGAAGUAAAGCUGAAGGAAGAGCUUAAAGCAGAAAUGUGUUCCUAUUGACAAGGCAACAAUUGAAUCAAACCAAACAGAGCAAAGAGUGGAGGAAAAUGGAAGAAGUCAUGGACUUAACAGAAAACAUAUGACCUAAUACCUGCAGAUUUUGAAUUCAUAUCAUCAGUGCAUAUAAAUUGGUCAAAAGAUGAAAGAUCUCAGCAUAAAUUGUUCAAUCAUGCAAAGCAUAUCCUGUCAAAUGGAGAUUACCCUCCCUUAAAGUGUCAAGUA